rnacentral:snRNA from 1 species
CUAUUCUCAUCCAAUUUGGA